UACGUAGGCAGCGAGCGUUGUUCGGAGUUACUGGGCGUAAAGGGUGUGUAGGCGGUUGUUUAAGUUUGGUGUGAAAUCUCCCGGCUCAACUGGGAGGGUGCGCCGAAUACUGAAUGACUUGGAGUGCGGGAGAGGAGAGUGGAAUUCCUGGUGUAGCGGUGAAAUGCGUAGAUAUCGGAAGGAACAUCAGUGGCGAAAGCGACUUCCUGGACCAAUACUGACGCUCAUGUGCGAAAGCGUGGGGAGCAAACAGG
rnacentral:rRNA from 1 species